rnacentral:rRNA from 1 species
CCGGGGCUAAUACCGGAUGGUUGUUUGAACCGCAUGGUUCAGACAUAAAAGGUGGCUUCGGCUACCACUUACAGAUGGACCCGCGGCGCAUUAGCUAGUUGGUGAGGUAACGGCUCACCAAGGCAACGAUGCGUAGCCGACCUGAGAGGGUGAUCGGCCACACUGGGACUGAGACACGGCCCAGACUCCUACGGGAGGCAGCAGUAGGGAAUCUUCCGCAAUGGACGAAAGUCUGACGGAGCAACGCCGCGUGAGUGAUGAAGGUUUUCGGAUCGUAAAGCUCUGUUGUUAGGGAAGAACAAGUGCCGUUCAAAUAGGGCGGCACCUUGACGGUACCUAACCAGAAAGCCACGGCUAACUACGUGCCAGCAGCCGCGGUAAUACGUAGGUGGCAAGCGUUGUCCGGAAUUAUUGGGCGUAAAGGGCUCGCAGGCGGUUUCUUAAGUCUGAUGUGAAAGCCCCCGGCUCAACCGGGGAGGGUCAUUGGAAACUGGGGAACUUGAGUGCAGAAGAGGAGAGUGGAAUUCCACGUGUAGCGGUGAAAUGCGUAGAGAUGUGGAGGAACACC